rnacentral:rRNA from 1 species
UGGGCGCAAGCCUGAUCCAGCCAUGCCGCGUGAGUGAUGACGGCCUUAGGGUUGUAAAGCUCUUUUCUCCGGGACGAUAAUGACGGUACCGGAGGAAUAAGCCCCGGCUAACUUCGUGCCAGCAGCCGCGGUAAUACGAAGGGGGCUAGCGUUGCUCGGAAUCACUGGGCGUAAAGGGCGCGUAGGCGGCGUUUUAAGUCGGGGGUGAAAGCCUGUGGCUCAACCACAGAAUGGCCUUCGAUACUGGGACGCUUGAGUAUGGUAGAGGUUGGUGGAACUGCGAGUGUAGAGGUGAAAUUCGUAGAUAUUCGCAAGAACACCGGUGGCGAAGGCGGCCAACUGGACCAUUACUGACGCUGAGGCGCGAAAGCGUGGGGAGCAAACAGGAUUAGAUACCCUGGUAGUCCACGCCGUAUACG